rnacentral:tRNA from 1 species
GCCUCGAUAGCUCAUUCGGGAGAGCGUUAGACUGAAGAUCUAAAGGUCCAUGGUUCAAUCCCGGGUCGAGGCA